UACGGGGGGGGGCAAGCGUUGUUCGGAAUUACUGGGCGUAAAGGGCUCGUAGGCGGCCAACUAAGUCAGACGUGAAAUCCCUCGGCUUAACCGGGGAACUGCGUCUGAUACUGGAUGGCUUGAGUCCGGGAGAGGGAUGCGGAAUUCCAGGUGUAGCGGUGAAAUGCGUAGAUAUCAAGAGGAACACCUGAGGUGAGACGGGUUGCUGGGCUGACACUGACGCUGAGGCGCGAAAGCCAGGGGAGCAAACGGG
rnacentral:rRNA from 1 species